rnacentral:rRNA from 1 species
UACGAAGGGGGCUAGCGUUGCUCGGAAUCACUGGGCGUAAAGCGCACGUAGGCGGAUUCCUAAGUCGGUGGUGAAAUCCUGGAGCUCAACUCCAGAACUGCCUCCGAUACUGAGAGUCUUCGAGUCCGGGAGAGGUGAGUGGAACUGAGAGUGUAGAGGUGAAAUUCGUAGAUAUUCGCAAGAACACCAGUGGCGAAGGCGGCUCACUGGCCCGGUACUGACGCUGAGGUGCGAAAGCGUGGGGAGCAAACAGG